GGUCCGGUAGUUCAGUUGGUUAGAAUGCCUGCCUGUCACGCAGGAGGUCGCGGGUUCGAGUCCCGUCCGAACCGCCA
rnacentral:tRNA from 2 species